CGGAUCGGAGUCUGCAACCCGACUCCGUGAAGCUGGAUUCGCUAGUAAUCGCGCAUCAGCCAUGGCGCGGUGAAUACGUUCCCGGGCCUUGUACACACCGCCCGUCAAGCCAUGGGAGCCGGGGGCGCCUGAAGUCCGGGACCGCGAGGGGGGAGCUGUCGAAGGCGGGGCCGGUGACCGGGGUGAAGUCGUAACAAGGUAUC
rnacentral:rRNA from 1 species